rnacentral:tRNA from 1 species
GGCCCGCUUUGCGUCAAGCGGUUAAGACACCGCCCGUGUCGACGGCGGGGUAAACACGGGUUCGAGUCCCGUACGGGUCA